rnacentral:rRNA from 1 species
AUGUUGAAGCUGCAGCCCUACGUGCAGCGCUCGGUCAUCAGCCGGCCUUGCGCCAAGCUCGCCUUCAAAUUCUUCGGCCCGUACACUGUCCUUGAGAAGAUCGGUCUCAUGGCGUACAAGCUGGACCUGCUGCCCGUGAGUCAGGUGCACCCUGUCUUCCACAUAUCCCAGCUCAAGCCAUCCACGCCGGACUACAUGCCGGUGUACGCAGAGCUGCCGCGCGUGCUGGACCUCUUCGUGUCGUCGGCAGCACCAACGCAGCUGCUGGAACGACGCAUGAUGAAGCGCGGGAAUGCUGCCAUCGUGCAGGUCAAGGUGCGAUGGGGCGAGGGCUCGCCGGCCGCCACCACAUGGGAAGAUUAUGAGGUUCUCCGGCAGCGUUUUCCUUCAACAGCCAUUUGGAAGGACUCGGGGGCAAGUUCCCAGAAAGAAGCUCAGUCUUAA